rnacentral:rRNA from 1 species
GAUGAACGCUGGCGGUAUGCUUAACACAUGCAAGUCGAACGGACUCUUCGGAGUUAGUGGCGGACGGGUGAGUAACGCGUGAGAAUCUGGCUUUGGGUUCGGGACAACCACUGGAAACGGUGGCUAAUACCGGAUGUGCCGAGAGGUAAAAGAGAAAUUGCCUGAAGAUGAGCUCGCGUCUGAUUAGCUAGUUGGUGAGGUAAAGGCUCACCAAGGCAGCAAUCAGUAGCUGGUCUGAGAGGAUGACCAGCCACACUGGGACUGAGACACGGCCCAGACUCCUACGGGAGGCGGCAGUGGGGAAUUUUCCGCAAUGGGCGAAAGCCUGACGGAGCAAUACCGCGUGAGGGAAGAAGGCUCUUGGGUUGUAAACCUCUUUUCUUAGGGAAGAACAAAAUGACGGUACCUAAGGAAUCAGCAUCGGCUAACUCCGUG